rnacentral:rRNA from 1 species
UAGGGAAUCUUCCGCAAUGGGCGAAAGCCUGACGGAGCAACGCCGCGUGAGUGAUGAAGGUCUUCGGAUCGUAAAACUCUGUUAUUAGGGAAGAACAAAUGUGUAAGUAACUAUGCACGUCUUGACGGUACCUAAUCAGAAAGCCACGGCUAACUACGUGCCAGCAGCCGCGGUAAUACGUAGGUGGCAAGCGUUAUCCGGAAUUAUUGGGGGUAAAGCGCGCGUAGGCGGUUUUUUACGUCUGAUGUGAAAGCCCACGGCUCAACCGUGGAGGGUCAUUGGGAACUGGAAAACUUGAGUGCAGAAGAGGAAAGUGGAAUUCCAUGUGUAGCGGUGAAAUGCGCAGAGAUAUGGAGGAACACCAGUGGCGAAGGCGACUUGCUGGUCUGUAACUGACGCUGAUGUGCGAAAGCGUGGGGAUCAAACAGG